rnacentral:rRNA from 1 species
GAUGAACGCUGGCGGCGUGCCUAAUACAUGCAAGUCGAGCGAACAGAUGAGGAGCUUGCUCCUCUGACGUUAGCGGCGGACGGGUGAGUAACACGUGGAUAACCUACCUAUAAGACUGGGAUAACUUCGGGAAACCGGAGCUAAUACCGGAUAAUAUAUUGAACCGCAUGGUUCAAUAGUGAAAGACGGUUUUGCUGUCACUUAUAGAUGGAUCCGCGCCGCAUUAGCUAGUUGGUGAGGUAACGGCUCACCAAGGCGACGAUACAUAGCCGACCUGAGAGGGUGAUCGGCCACACUGGGACUGAGACACGGCCCAGACUCCUACGGGAGGCAGCAGUAGGGAAUCUUCGGCAAUGGACGGAAGUCUGACCGAGCAACGCCGCGUGAGUGAAGAAGGUUUUCGGAUCGUAAAGCUCUGUUGUAAGAGAAGAACGAGUGUGAGAGUGGAAAGUUCACACUGUGACGGUAUCUUACCAGAAAGGGACGGCUAACUACGUG